AAACGUUACAAGUUCCCGAAAGGAUUUGUUUAGAGCUGUAUAAAAGUAUAUGUAAUGCUUUGAUUGCUUGACAAAGAUGCCUUGUAACCGAAUAUGAUUAGGGGGAAUACAUUAUG
rfam:Enterococcus haemoperoxidus ATCC BAA-382 genomic scaffold acvJN-supercont1.3, whole genome shotgun sequence.